rnacentral:lncRNA from 1 species
ACACUGAUGUGAGUUGAAUUUCAACUUGUGGCCUCGAGUUCAGAGGUGCUCAUUUUCAUUUUCUGAAGAAGAAAGUUUCUGUCUGGGACCCUCCCUGCCUUUGGAGGGAGACACGCAAGUCCGGAGGUUAUUCGUGCCCUUUGGAACUCUUCCUGGGAGAGUCCAAGGAAUGUCGUAGAAUCAACCCGAAAAUGACAAACACUCACCAGUGCCCUUGAAUGCCGUCACUAUCUCUGACUCCAUUAGCCUUUUAUGGUCUUUUCCAAAAAGAACCUAAUUAAGUUAUCAGAACGGGUCAGGCCAUAUGUGUCUUCUGACCUCAACUCAU